AGAGUUUGAUCCUGGCUCAGAUUGAACGCUGGCGGCAUGCCUUACACAUGCAAGUCGAACGGCAGCACGGGAGCAAUCCUGGUGGCGAGUGGCGAACGGGUGAGUAAUAUAUCGGAACGUGCCCAGUAGUGGGGGAUAGCCCGGCGAAAGCCGGAUUAAUACCGCAUGAGACCUGAGGGUGAAAGCGGGGGAUCGCAAGACCUCGCGCUAUUGGAGCGGCCGAUAUCAGAUUAGCUAGUUGGUGGGGUAAAGGCCUACCAAGGCAACGAUCUGUAGUUGGUCUGAGAGGAUGAUCCGCCACACUGGGACUGAGACACGGCCCAGACUCCUACGGGAGGCAGCAGUGGGGAAUUUUGGACAAUGGGCGCAAGCCUGAUCCAGCCAUGCCGCGUGUCUGAAGAAGGCCUUCGGGUUGUAAAGGACUUUUGUCCGGGAGCAAAGCCUACUUGUU
rnacentral:rRNA from 1 species